rnacentral:tRNA from 1 species
ACCAAAAUGGCAGAGGUGGAAUGCGAUGAGUUUAAGCUUCAUAGAUGACUGGGUCUUUUGGUU